rnacentral:rRNA from 1 species
CACGUAGGGUGCGAGCGUUGUCCGGAAUUAUUGGGCGUAAAGAGCUCGUAGGCGGUGUGUCGCGUCGGCCGUGAAAACCUGCAGCUUAACUGUGGGCUUGCGGUCGAUACGGGCAUCACUGGAGUUCGGCAGGGGAGACUGGAAUUCCUGGUGUAGCGGUGAAAUGCGCAGAUAUCAGGAGGGAACACCGGUGGCGAAGGCGGGUCUCUGGGCCGAUACUGACGCUGGAGGAGCGAAAAGCCGUGGGGAGCGAACAGG